rnacentral:rRNA from 1 species
UUGGUGAGGUAACGGCUCACCAAGGCGACGAUGGGUAGCCGGCCUGAGAGGGUGGACGGCCACACUGGGACUGAGACACGGCCCAGACUCCUACGGGAGGCAGCAGUAGGGAAUAUUGCGCAAUGGAGGAAACUCUGACGCAGCGACGCCGCGUGAACGAUGAAGGCCUUCGGGUCGUAAAGUUCUGUCCUUGGGGAAGAAGGGCAUUUUCGGAUGUCUUGACGGUACCCAAGAAGAAAGCCCCGGCUAACUACGUGCCAGCAGCCGCGGUAAUACGUAGGGGGCAAGCGUUGUCCGGAAUUACUGGGCGUAAAGGGUGCGCAGGCGGCCAUUUAAGUCAGGUGUGAAAUUCCACGGCUUAACCGUGGGGUUGCAUUUGAAACUGGGUGGCUUGAGUAUCGGAGAGGGUAGUGGAAUUCCCAGUGUAGCGGUGAAAUGCGUAGAUAUUGGGAGGAACACCAGUGGCGAAGGCGACUACCUGGACGAUCACUGACGCUGAGGCACGAAAGCUAGGGGAGCAAACAGGAUUAGAUACCCUGGUAGUCCUAGCUGUAAACGAUGGGUACUAGGUGUAGGGGGUUUCGAUACCUUCUGU